UGAGGAAUAUUGGGCAAUGGGGGAAACCCUGACCCGGCAACGCCGCGUGAAGGAAGAAGGCCUUCGGGUUGUAAACUUCUUUUACCAGGGACGAAGAACGUGACGGUACCUGGAGAAAAAGCCACGGCUAACUACGUGCCAGCAGCCGCGGUAAUACGUAGGUGGCAAGCGUUGUCCGGAUUUACUGGGUGUAAAGGGCGUGUAGGCGGAGCUGCAAGUCAGAUGUGAAAUCCCGGGGCUCAACCCCGGAACUGCAUUUGAAACUGUAGCCCUUGAGUAUCGGAGAGGCAGGCGGAAUUCCUAGUGUAGCGGUGAAAUGCGUAGAUAUUAGGAGGAACACCAGUGGCGAAGGCGGCCUGCUGGACGACAACUGACGCUGAUGCGCGAAAGCGUGGGGAGCAAACAGG
rnacentral:rRNA from 1 species